GUGAGUUUGUCUUGAGCAAAGAUGUCGGGGGAAACAUUGAUGAGUUAAAGGGGUUUCAGCAUUUGAGUGGAAAUCUUCAUAUUUCAGGGCUUCAAAAUAUCACACGUGCUGAGGAUGCUUUGGAGGCCAAACUGAGGGACAAGAAGCUCAGUGAAAUACGUUUGAAAUGGGAAGGUGACACUAUUGAUUCUGAAAACGAUAGCCGAGUGCUAGGCAACUUGCAACCCAAUACAAACCUAAAAGUAUUGGCUAUACAAGGAUACGGAGGUACGAAGUUUCCAGGUUGGUUGGGAGAUGAGUCUUUCUCUAAUCUUGUCACUCUCCGACUUGAGACUUGUGGAUAUUGUUUCUCCCUGCCAGCAUUGGGGCAGCUACCGUCUCUCAAAAGGCUUGAAAUUGAUGGGUUGAAUGGAGUGGAAUCAGUGGGGUCUGAGUUUUAUGGGGGAAUUAAACCUGCAUUUAAAUCUCUGGAGUUUCUGAGUUUCUGCAGUAUGCGGGAAUGGCAAGAGUGGUGUUUCCCUGGAGGCGGACAUUUUCUAAUCUUUGCGAGCUUAGUCUGGGGAAUUGUCCCAAACUAACGGGGAAAAUACCGUUAGACUACUUCCCAAGACUUGAGCGGCUAAGUUUGCAGAACGUUAAAAUCGUAUAUUUUGUGGGUGGUGGAGUGUUGCUUGCGCCCAACUUGUGGUCAGUGCCAGAAGAUCUGCAAAUCUCGCUCCCAUCUCUUCAGUCUCUGUCCAUAGAAGGGUGUAAAGAAUUUAAAUCAUUUCCGGAAGAAUCUAAAUUCCCAUCCCUAAAAAAUUUGAAGAUAAAGGAGUGCCCAGAAUUUGUUGGUUUCCCCCAUGGGGGAGGACUGCAAGCGCCCAACUUGAAGACGAUGCAAAUCAAAGAAUGUAACAAAUUCAGGUCACUGCCAGAGGAGAUGCACGCUUCUCUCCCGUCCCUUCAGUGUCUGUCCAUAGAAGGGUGUAAAGAAUUUGUGGGUUUCCCCCAUGGAGGAGGACUGCAAGCGCCCAACUUGAAGAUGAUGCAAAUCAACGAAUGUAACAAAUUCAGGUCACUGCCAGAGGAGAUGCAAAUCUCUCUCCCGUCUCUCUCGUCUUUGUAUAUAUGGGAUUCUCCAGAAUUGGAAUCAUUUCCGGAAGGGGGAUUGCCGUCCAAAUUGCGUUACCUCAUUAUCUGGUGUUGUAAAAAACUGAUGGCAAACCGUAUGCGGUGGGGUCUACAAACACUCACCUCUCUCAAAUUCUUGGAUGUCAGCUUCUCAGGAUGUGAAGAAGAAGAAAUUGUCGAAUCAUUUCCAGAAGAGGGGCUGCUGCCAAUCACUCUCACUUCUCUCGGAAUCUCCCAUCAUCCGAAUCUGAAAACCAUUGACGGCAAGGCCUUAAGACACAUCAUCUCUCUCGAGGAGUUGUAUAUUUUUUAUUGUCCUCAACUCCAGAGCUUGCCAGAUGAAGGGCUACCCACUUCUCUUUCUUUUCUACAUAUCACCGGGUCUGAUUUGCUAACACAACGGUGUCAGAGAGACACAGGAGAAGAUUGGCCCAAGAUUUCUCACAUCCCCAACGUAAGGAUUAAUGACCGAAAGAUAUGAUUUGCAAUGGUAAGUAAUUCGUCAACGUUCGUUUGUGUUUAUUUACGAUCUGGCUGUGUAAAUUUUAAAUCAUAAAUAUGUUUCAAAUGUUAAUAUUCACGUAAUAACAAACAAAUUUUGCAGAUACUCCUGUCCCAUAUAAACUUGAAAGUAUUUGUGAUAGAAAGAUACGGAGCUACAAAAAUUCCAAAUCUGUUAGGAGAUGACUCGUUCGUUCUCUCAUCUUGUUACUCUUCGACUUAUGGAUUGUGAAUAUUGUUUUUCAAUGGCAGCAUUGGACAGCUACCAUCUCUCAGAAGGCUUGAAACUGAUGGGUUAAAUGGAGUGGAAUUGUUUCAGUGUUGGUUCUACUCUCCCUCUUUUCUUACUGUGUCUUAUGGUGGUUUCAUUAUACGACAGUUUGUUGUAUCGAACUAGUCCUCGGGGAAAAAGGAGCUUCAACAAGUUUACGAAAUUACGACCUCUAGUUUCCAAAUCUCCUUUUUCAAGUUUUUUUUUUCCAAAUCAUGUCUAUUGAGAGGUAGAUUUUGGUACUUUGUGGAAUUUGAAUUCAAACGCUUGGUUUGUAAAAUAUGGAUGAUGAAUUUCGUUUCUGUGGAACUGUGAAUCAAUGAUCAUGCAUGAAUGUUGUAAGACUAGAGUAUCAAAAACCCUCUGUUUACUAAUCAAUCUCAACCGGACUAAAUUCGACUUAUUUAAUUAGUAUUGCAAGAUGAUAUUAUCUAUUAAUCAUUGUCUAAUCAAUUGAUUGUUUUGUAAACUUUUUAAUGUAAAAGUGCUUAUAGUUUCUUGGGACGAGGAUGGUGAAGAUUAUACGGAGAGGAGGUUGAGAGCUUUCUUCUCCAGGUUUGGCGAGGUUGAAGAAAUGCUCUUUAAGAACAGAGGUCCUGCGGAAAUUGUCAUGGCAACUAAGGAUGCAGCUGUGAAGGGGUUUCAACAUGACUGCGCUGUUCAUGAAAAGUUUGAAGGGAAAAAGCAGCAAUGAUGAACUAGGGUUUCAAAAUUUGCUUGUGUAUGCCAUUACUUUUAGUUUUGGUUUGGUUAAAACGCUACGUACAUUCCCAUCAUCUGAUUUAAUUUACAGUUCCUAACCUCAACUCACGACUAAAACUGGAAUUGCUAAGAAAAACUCGAAAUAUAUUGCAAACCAGAUUCUGUAUGCAAGCAAAAACAUAUUCAAUUAUCAACGAAUGGGGACUCUGCAAGAUCAAUAGCGCGUGCAAGUGCAGCAGCCUUGUUCUUGCACUCCCUCUGCUCAUCAGCUGGAUCACUGUCAGCGACAAUUCCUGCCCCGGCUUGGAGAUGAGCGACCCACUCUCUUUGCUUGUUUGCAUCCUUGUAUGAAUACAUUGUAUCAUACCGAAAGCUAGUUGGGAAAACAAUAGUUCUCAGAGCGAGGGCGAUGUCCAUGUUGCCAGAAAACGAAAUUCCCCAAAGCCACCACUGUAUGGACCACGUCUAGUCACUUCUAGCUUAUCGAUCAGCUCCAUGGCUUUCACCUGCAUUGCAGUAAAUGAGGAAACUCGAAAAUCCUAAGCGAGUCCAUACACAACAUCGUGUUCCAUAUAUCAACCAUUAGUGGUGUAAUAAGCCGAUUCCUAACUGAUUAGGUUAAUCCUCAAGGCUUUUACUCGCAGGAUUAUACAGGUUAAUUAGUCUAGGAUCAAUUUAGCUAACUGUUAAGAAAUAAAACAAGAAUAAAGGUCGUACCCAGUGCACAAGGCUCCCGCUUUACAGGUUAAGAAAUAAAACAAGAAUAAAAAGGUCGUACCCAAGGAUUUAAAUAUCGGUAAUAUCGGAAAUAUCGGUAGUCCGAAAACACGGAAAUAUCGAUGGAAAUAUCGGUAUAAUAUCGAUAUCGAUAAAAAUUACAUGGAAACCACGGAAAUUGUAAGAAAAACUUGGAAAUUUUUAUUGAAACUUUGCAGGAUGUUUAUUUAGUCAAUUAUCUAUUAAUUUAUCACAAAAAAUUGGAAGGAAAUGCAUUGCAUGAUGGAUUUAACAUUAUCAAGUUGAUUAUAUAGCGAGCUGGCAAACAUUGUGAGUGUAGAAAAUAUGUAGUAAUUAAUGAAAGAAGUUUAAACACACCAUAAUCAUUAUAUAUAAUGAAUUAGUACAAUAUUUUACACUUUAUACAUUGCAUGGAAAGAUACAUGAGUGACUUAGUACCACAUAGAGUUCUAAUGAGGUUCAAAAUUUUCACCUUGGUGUUUUUUAAAAUAUAGAAAUUUAUCUUAGAUAAUAAAUAUUAGCUUGCAAACCUUGCAGACAUCUUAAUGACCAUAUAAGGCUGAAUAUGUAAUCACAAACACAUCUGUAACAAGUUGGAUAAAGCCCAGGUACGUGGUUGACAAAGGAAGGGUUCAAAUAUAAUCUGCUUGCUUAGUUAAAAAAAACAAAAUAUUAUCUAAAUAAUUUAUAAUUUAUAUAACAUAUAUAUAUAUAUAUAUAUAUAUAUAAAAUAUAUCCUAAACUUUUAAAAAUAUAAAUGGAUGGCCUUCAUUAUUAAAAGUUAAAACCAUGCACCUCUUUCACGUCACUUGUCUAAAAGUUUUAGACUAAAACCAUCAAAGCCAAUGGUUUUGUUUUUUUUAAGUCUCCCGUCCCACCACCAAGGUUUUCUCUCUCUCUCUCUCCCCGCACUGUCCCCUCCUCCUCCCUCAUCUUCACAGAUCUCUGUUCCUCUCUCUCUCCCCGCACCGUCUCCUCCUCCUCCCUCAUCUUCACAGAUCUCCCCCUUCUCGAUCCUUCUCUCUUCUUCUCUGAGGCCCUCGAUCCUUCUCUCUUAUUCUCUGAGGCCUGACCUCUCUUCUCCCCCUUCUCCAUUCGACCCACACACACACAGAUCUCCCCCUUCUCCCACUCUCUCGAUUCUUCGCCCACUCUCUCGAUCCUUCGCUGCCGUUGAUCGUGGCUCUGGCGAAGUCGGACUUGGCUUAGUCGUCUCUGGUGGUGCGCCGCUGAGCAAGGAGUUGGCCCAGUCAUCGAUUUUUCAGGUGAGAUUCCAUUGAAAACCUAAGUCCUAAACCGACAUCACAUAUGUUGAAUCGUUGAUGCAUGCGUGAAAUUUGAAGCUUAUAUGUGAAAUUGAAGUUAAAAAUCGUGUUUUUGCCAGGUUUUUGGGACGAAAUGGGCUCAGGAAUAGGCACACCAUCUCCGGCGUUCUUCUCCGGCGUUCGAUAUCGGAGGCCGAUUGCACCGUUCAACAAAAUAUCUCGAUAUUUCCAAAAUAUCGCGAUAUUAUCGAUAUUAUCGAUAAUAUAGCGAUAUUUGGACGAAAACCACACGGAUACCUAUUUAAAUAUCCAUUCCCCGAAAAAUCGAUAUUAUCGGCGAUAUUUCGCCUGAUAUUCGCCUGAUAAACCUUCCCGACAUCAUUCCUCCCCAAGUCUACAAGCAUAAUAUGCUCUGCACAUUGCUUUUCAUCAUUCAAAACGUACUGUAUCAUAAGAGAAGUAACCAACCCAGCCGCCUGAUAAAGAGAGUGGAUGUUGUUAACCACCAACUUGUGACUUCGAGAACCUCCAUUUUUAAGAUUGAAUAAUGCAAUAAUACAAGGAUAAAUUUAUGGCAAUUUUGUGCCAAAGAAGUCUUUUGCGAAAGCCCAGAAUAUCACGCAAUACAUAACACUAGUGUCAACACAGUACAUCUACAACCUAACAAAAUGUACAGGAAAAUAUGAGCACACUGAUAACCCACAGUUCUACUUGCCUAGUCCAAAACUUUGAGACUAAGAAGGGAAAAAUAAGCAAAGCAUGGUCUUCAUUUUUAUAAAUAACUUCACCACAACUUUACAAAUCUAAGUUUUGUUAACGAACCACAUUUAAGGAGAACUGGUUUACUUUGAACUGAGAGGAUUAAGAUAUGAGUACUACUAAAGCGUGUUAUUUGUGUACUUAUCAUACCACAAAAUGCUUCUGGAAGUUCAUCAAGAAGUUGGGGUGUCCAUCCCUCCAUGAUUCUCCGAGGAACAGUCAUUGGAUCCUCCACAAACUCCUCUGUCCUACAACCUUCUUUGUGGUCCAUAAUGGUAACCAUGUUCUCCUUAGCCACGAUUUCAAUGGAUGGUUGGGCACCAAUAACACUGUGCCGGCCCUAACAAAUGAUUGACACCAAAAAUUUGUAAGUGAUCAAUUAUGGUCUACAGUCAGAUGCAAACAAAUACAAAUGAUACAAGGGGCUGAGGACGCUUACAACAUUGGAGUCGUUGGAACCCGGCUCAACUGACUCAAACAGAAAACUUGGAGCAUCUCUAUCAUCCUCCUUAACCAGACACCGGUAAGCGAGAACAGGAGUUAGAUGAUCCGAGAAUAUGCUCCGAGACAGAGGAAUUAAAUUCCCCUUCUUCGAGGCUUCUACAAACUUCUCUGAUUCGUCGGCUGCAGUAAAAUCAAUCGUACAAAUCAAAACUCGCAUUAGUAUAACCAAUUCAGUUCCUUACAAACAGACAUUGCCUGACAGAAUCAAAAUUUUUAAUUCUAAAAUUUGGGCAGAUUAUAAUCAUAUAAUGAUCACCACUCUCAUUGUUCGGCUAAUCGAACCGAAAUUAGCAUUUUACAAUGUAAAUCAAAACACAAUUAACUAAAAACCCAGAAAUUCAUUUUCUUUAUUUUCUUCCAGCAAAACAGUCAUAGAUACUCAAAUGUAAAUGGCUAAUACUCAAUUAUCCCCCCAACGUUCUACAUUUUCUCGGAAACCAAACACAUCCCAGAAAGCAAAUGUAGUUGAAUCAACUGCUCCAGAAGUAAAAUUGAAACGAGCAACAAAAAAAAUUACAAAGGUCGGGAAGAAAAAAGACAAUGCGAAGAUGAAAAUUAAAGGAAUCAAGCGAAGGAGGAGGGGUGCCGAUGUGGGUAAUGUACAUAUUGCCUACCCGAAUAAACAUUAGAAGGAGAAGGACCCGCAUAGGGCUCCAUAUGAGCAACCAAAGACGAUUGACUCGUCAUGUGAUGGGUAGCACCAGUGUCGGGAUGCCAAAGUGGAUCAGGCUUCUGUUCAAACUGGGUUGCGGCAAAGGGUGCGGCCUGAUCAGGCCCACAGUACCUGUGCGGGCAGGUCUGGAUAUGCUGGAACGUAUUGCAGUUAUAGCGCCAAGGAGGGCCUAAAAUUGGGCCGAAAAUUGGGCCGAACAGGAACAAAGGGCUGCUCCAGUUUUUGUUGAUGGGGAUGUUGCCAAUGAUGCUGGACUGGGCCCGCAGCAUUAAAGGGCCGACCACCACCACUAGAAUUAAAUUAUGAGUAAUACUAUGUUUCGAAUAAGGAAAUAAACUUGGAAUUUGGAUAAAAAUCAGAAUUUAUAAAUUGACAUGCACCAAUUCCUUUAUUUGGAUUUAUAAACAUAGAAAUUUAGAAUUUCCGCGUGAAAAAAAAACUUGGAAUUUGGGGCCUCCAAUUCCCAAGUUUAAAUUCCAUGUAAAUAAGUGUCAUUUACCAAUUUCUAUGAUUGAGAGUUUAAAAUUAACAAAUUCCAUUCUCAAUUUCAUUGUUCUUUUAGGUUAACCAAAAAAGAAAAAUCACAAAAUCUAGAAAAUAAAAUCCCGUCAUUUCAAUUUUCGUCAUUUUAAAAUUCCUUAGUAAUCUUAAAUUUCUUCAUCCAAACAUAGUGUUAGGCUAUUCAUACCAGGUUUUUGUACCACAUUUUCAUACCAUCUUAGGUGACAUCUGAUGUGGACAGCUACAUCAUUUGAAAAUUUUGCAAAACCCAAAGAAAGAAAGGAGAAAGACUUCUCGUAUACCACAAUCUAUCAUUUAAUUAACUAAAUUUUAUUAAUUAUUAGUUUAUUAAAUAAUGAACUAAAUUUAAAAAUCUAAUUAAUUCAAAUGAUGUGGUUGUUCACAUCAAAUGCCACCUAGAGUGGUAUGAAAAUAUGGUAUGAAUAACAUUACUCUUAAAUUAUUGACAAGCGGAAUCCAAAACGCACCCAAAAAUUAGGUAAAUAUUUUUACUUUAUAAGAACGAGUGGUUAUCAUGUGUUGCAAAUUUGUAAUGCGUUUUUGUGGAGCCAAAAAUAAUCAAGAAUAAUAUAGAGGUGACACGUGGAUUCUAGGAUAAAAUGGACAAAAUUACCUUCGAGGCACACCGGAAUUCCUACGCACGAGCAGUGGACAAUCAUCCCUCAAUAAAGUUAAAAGUGCCCAAAUAGGUAUUUAUUUAUAACAUCCCUCAUCAUAUCUUCUCCACAAUGUAACCCAUAAAUCAUUCAUUUUUUAUUAUAUUAAUUAGCUAAUUAAUUGAUUAAUUAUUAAGUUAAUUUGCUAAUUAAACACAAACCAUGAACUUCACCCACAAAUCCAUCCAAGUGGCCGGUCCAUCUCCUCCCAAGGUGGCCGGCCACACCCCUAUAUAAACACCUUCAUUCUCUCCAAAACUCAAUUCCAAUUCUCUUGCUAAACUCUCUAAAUUCUCUAAAUUCUCUAAACACUUUUCCCUCAAAAUUCUAACUUUGGCAUCGAAGGUUCUUCGGCCAAAGCCCCCCCCAAAUCAUCAUGAGCGCGUGAGGUUUUUGGCCUUGACCUAAGGUGUUAUUUGUUUUGUAGGUGCAAUUUUGUCCAAGAGUAAGGAAGAAGAAAUUUGCAUCCACAAAUUGAUGCUUUCAUUGAGAGUUGAGUCACACGCUCAUAGAAGACUCUCGCAUCUAAGGUUUUUCGUUUCCUUGCUUAUUUGUGGAUUUUUCGAACGUUCUUAUUCUAUGAAUUUUUAUUUCUAAAAAUCCUUUGAUAAAACGUAAAAGAAAAGUACAAUAGCAAGAGAUUCUAAAAAUCCUUUGUAGUCUAAUGCCGAUGUAUUCUUUGAUAAUUUGAUUGCAUAUAAGAUUGUAUUGUUCCUUCUCUAUCCGAUAUAUAUGAAUUCAUAUGCAGAACUACUUGGUUUUCUAUCAUGGUCAAAGUCAAAUACGUGAACACAUUGCAUUUUUUUUAUAUCAGUUUGUUAUUCUAGAUUGCAUACCUGCAAAGUUCAAAAAAAAAAAAAAGUAUUUAUGGCUUUAAACUGAUCAGUUCCUUUUCCUUUCUCCAAUUCCAAAAUUUCUCUUAUUAAAAAUCAAGCAAAUUGAAGAUCUGUAGAACGAGGAUGAAAACUAAUCCUUUUCCAUCAACGUUUUGUGUUUUUAGUGGGUAGAGUUAUGCUCUACAAUGAAGAAUGUGAGUGACUUUGAGAGCUUGAAGGAAGACAAUCUCGCCGAAAUUAACUUGAGGUAUAUUUAGAAAAUAAUUUUCUUUUUAAAAUUUUAUUAGGGUCUAAAUAGUCAUUUUAUAUUAGAUAUGUAAGACACUUAACAAUAAAUUUUUAUGUGGGGUGUAUUCAAUAAUAUAUGAGGUGUUAAUACAAAAAUCAUUUUCUUUAACAAAAACAAUAGUUUAGUUCCACUGCAUACAUCAGACUUUGCACAAGCGAGCCGUGGUGGACAUAUAGUAAGUCAGAUUUUAGCAGAAUCAUUAGAGCAAGAUGUUUUAAUAGAUCCCUUUGAAAAUCUAAAAGAAUUUAAACAAAACUUAGAAUUCAGUUUUAAACUCCAGAAAGUUAAAUUUGAUAAAACAGACCUAGAUAAUCUAGUAAGAAUAGCAGAAGAAACUCAAGUCUUAGGAGAAGAUCCCAUGAAGUAUUGGGAUGGAAAUAAGUUUUUAGGAAAGAUAAAUAUUAUUAACCCAGAUUUAAUCAUUAAAACUAAAGAAAUAGCCUAUGAUAACCCAGAUAAAAGAAGAUUUUCAGAAAUAGAUCAAAGAAUUACUAUGGUCAGAAAUAGAGCAGUGCAAGUUAGAGGACAAGCUAGGAUGAUAAUAAAUUAUAAAAGAUUAGAUGAUUAUACAUUCUCAGAUGGUUAUAAGAUCCCCACAAAAGAUCUUUUAAUCCGUAGGAUUCAAGAUAAAAGAGUUUUUAGUAAAUUCGAUUGUAAAAGUGGAUUCUGGCAGAUUAAGUUAGAAGAAAGUAGUAGUCCAUGGACAGCAUUUAGUUGUAGCGAAAGACAUUUCCAGUGGAAUGUCUUACCUUUUGGAUUAAAGAAUGCACCUAGUAUUUUUCAGAGAAAAAUGGACUUAAUUUUUAACCAGAAACCUUAUUCAGAUUUUUGUAUUGUUUAUAUUGAUGAUAUUCUAAUUUUUAGCAGGACAAGGGAUGAACACGAUGAUCAUCUGUCAAGAAUUUUUCAAGCUUUCUUAGAUAAUGGCAUAAUUAUUAGCAAAAAGAAGUAAAAUUCUAGUUUAUAUGCAAAAACAAGCUAAAGAGUAGAAGAUGAGCUUUAUUUCAAGAUGCAAUAGCCAAUAGAUGAGUAGAAGUAAAAUUCGAACAUAUAAAAGGUAGUAAUAACAUUGUUCCAGAUUUACUUUCAAGAUCCUUUGAUAUUUUUUCAGACCAAUGGCAUCAUCAAGCAGCAGUUCUUCAGGAGCUCACUCAGCUCAGAGUUUUCCAGAAAAACAGCCAGUUGGCUUGCCGAGUUUUCCAAAAAUUUCAGAUAAAACCAAGCCAAAAAGAGUAGCUUUUUCGGAAGAUCUUUCACUUCCUUCAGUGGAAAAUCAGUUUUACAAGUAUAGAGUUCCCCAAAACUUCAUUAUAGAUGUUUUCCGGUGGUGUAUAAUGGAUUCAGUCCAUUAUUAUACCAAGUUUUUAGAGAACAGACAUCAAGCCGGACUCCUCCACACUUUGAGGUGUCUUUGCUUUGUUUUACAUCAAAUGAAUUUAAAAAUUAGAAGCAAUCAUUUUCAGAAUGCUGGCUUACGCCCGCAAAGUCUUUCAGAGAAAAUGAAAAUUAUGCUUUUUAUUGUGUUUUCAAAUGAAGAAACCCUGGAAUUUAUGAUUCUUGGGAAAAAGUUUGUGCAGAAAUUUCAGAAUUUCCAAAUAGUGUUUACAAAGGAUUUCACACUAGAGAUGCAGCAAGUAUAGCUUUUGCAGAAUUCAUGGCAGAGAAAAUCUGUAUCCUGAGUGAAAACAGUUUAAGGGAGGAAUUAGAGAAAAUAAAAAGACAACUAAGAGAGUUAAACACUCAGAUGAGCGUAGAGAUCGAGUGUUUAGAUGUAGAAUUAGAUUAUGAAAGAUCAAAGAAAGUUAAUGAGAUUGAAUUUGGAAAUCCAUAUGUUAGAAGAAAUUUUGAAAAGCUUCCAGCAGAAAUCCAAUUCCAGAUUCUCGAAAGAGAGGAAGAAGUUGGUUUCCUUUUCUACAUUCAAGUUUUCCAGAUUCUCGAAUCAAUGGAGAAGAGUUUCAGAAUUUCAGAAUUGGUGAUAAUCCUAGCUAUCCACUCAUUACGCUUGGAUUAUUAUUCGAUUAUGGUCUUACAGAAGAAAUCUAUAAUCCUCCAGUAGAUGAAGAUUCAGAAGUCUUUCCACAAGUUUUCAAAAGAUCUGUUUCCCUCUACCGGCAGCGAGGAAGACAGACUCGGAUUUUAAUUAGCAGUAUUCCACACAAAGUCAGAGAGUUAGAACACGAUAGAAGAGUGUUCGAGCAGACCAAGAGGAUGUUCAGAACAGAAUAUUUAGCAGGAUAUAAUAAGGUAUAUAUUAGGGGUCACUAUGCUCCUAAUACAUUUUCAGCAGUUGGAUUAGCCAGACAGAGGCUUUAAAGUUAAGGAGACGUUCAGAAUUACAAAGCUUAUUCUCUGGAUGAAUUUUUAGAAGAAUCUGACGGUCACAAUAAUGGCUUCUGUAGAAUUAUCAUAGAGACGGGCUACGGCUCACUUCUAACAACAUCGAUACUAUCCUCAACUUGGUAAUUAUCACAUGUACAAUCCGUUAAGUGUGAAAUUUUAUUACAAAAAGCCUCGAUAAUAGUUGAAGUGAGAUUAAGAUAUUUAAAUUCUUAUUUUUUUAUUGAUAUGGUCGAUGGAACAUUUCAAUAGCUUCACCAUGGUUGCAAUGGCCAGACACUACCAAAUUUUUUCAGCUCUCACUUUUCUCAGAAGACUCAUCUCAUCUACAGACCAAUCUUAGCUUGUGAUGAAGAAACAGCAGACGAGAUUGAUGACAUCUGGCAAUGCGUCAAUAAAGCUUGCAGCAUAGGAGAUAGAGACGAUAUUUCUAUCGACUCUAUUAUUGCAGACAAAGCAUGUGAAUAAAGCUUGCUCCAAAAAAAAAAAAAAAAAAAACAUGUGAAUAAAGCUUAUUCCCUUAUCUUUUGGUUUGUCGUGUUGCAGCAUUAUUGGAUUCCUUUUCCACAAUGCGUGUCCUUCGUGGACCACCUUACGUGGCUACCACUAGUUCGUGUUGGUAGGAGAUGCCUUCUUGGUGAAGGUAUUUUGUCACGUUUUGCUUCUAAGAUAUGUGUAGGAUCGACGUAUAACGUUAUCAAUAUUUGUAUAUCUACGAUGCCCUUGCUUCCGAGACAUGAUCGAAAACGCAAAUAAAUGGUUCAGCAACUCAGUAAUUUUUUUUUAUUUCAUUGUUGUAUUUAAUUUUUGUGUUAGACUCUCUAUAUACCCGAAGAUGGAAUCAAGUCGUUCGUAGUUCACGUUUUACCUUGUUUAGUAAAACAAACAAAAACAUCAUUAAUUAAGCCAGCAAACACACGCCAUCAUCAUAUGUUACACUUCCUUCUAAACUACAGCAAAUCACCAAAUAAUCAACAAACAACAUAAAUUCAAAAACUAAAAUCAAAUUAAUCCAUAAUUAAUCAUAAUUUAGCAUGAAAUCUCAUGAAGCACUCAUCUUUUGACUGAAGGCUCCACCAUGCCUUGUGAAAUUUCCAAUCAGCUUCCAGCCGCCAUAAUACGGCACUGUAUACAAUGCACUACGCUUAGUAUUGUAUCAUUAUACCUAUACGAAAACUUCAGUUGAUGGGCACUGUUUACCAACAGUGAUUUCACGAAAAUACCUUUCGUUUUUCUUCCCAUUCCUGCUUUGCUUUUCAAUGUUAAACAGUGGAUUUACAAAUUUCCCCUUACUAUUUGUUGGCUGGGGGUGCCACCACCUCUAAGAAGAUACCUGUUUGUUCCAUUUGGGUCCAGAAUCUCCCCAGUUCUCUUUCUCACAAACCACGAACCAAAAAAUUCUCUCUCUAAAAAGAUCACGAACCCCAGCACAAUCUCUCUCAAAACCUGUUAACCACAACACAAUCCGGUCCCGAUUCGAAGAAAGCUUUAAGCCCAGAAAAAGUUCGGUUUCAUGGUGAGUUCUCCUACCGAUUUGGUGCUUCUUUUUGUUUUUGUUUUUUCUAGAUAGCAUGCAGUCUUUUCUGAGUUAAUGGUUGAGGGCUUUGUUACAAAAAUAAAGUAGUGGUUGUGGGUCAGGUAUGAGGUUUUUUAGGUACUCAAGAUUCCUGAAUUCUAAAUGUGUUGAAUUUGCUUUUGUUUUUCACUAAUUGCAUGCAUCAUAGAAUUAAUACAAAUACAAAAUGGAAAAAUGAUUUUCAUCCAUAAAUAAUAUUCAAAUACUUGAAAAGUUUGUUUUAAAUUGGGUUUGGUUUCAUUGGUUUUUCUGAUUUUGAAACUUUUGUUUUCAGGCUCCAAAGGCUUUUAGGGGCUUGUUUGGUAUCAUAUUAAAAAAAAAUCAUUAUUUCUCAAAACAUUUUUUUAAGAAUCUCUCUUAAAAACAAUUUUCUUUUAAGAUUCAAAAACUUGUUUAGUAUGAGAUUUAAAAUUAUUUUUAAAUCUUAGAUAAGUUUGCUGAAAUUAAGUAUGGUUCCUUUGCAGGGGAGUUUGUUUUGAUUUUUUGUGGAAGAAUUCCAGUUUCCAGCGCUUCGUAUUCUUCAAUUACAGGUAAAUGAAUGUUGCAUGUGAAAUUUUUUUUCACCAAAUAAAGAAAACCCUUUUGUUGGGUUGGGCGAAGCCAUAUUGCUUCUAUUGGCAUAAAACUAUUCCCACACAAUCAAAGUAUGCAGUGGUUUGAUAAUUAAGUACAGAAAAUCUUCGGCUGAUAUCCUUCUUCUCUUUGCGUGAUAAAACCAUGUUUUUUGGAUUAUGAUGCUUAUUCUGAUUCGUAUCUGUAAUCAUUGAUGAUAUAACAUUGUAGGCUUGGAGUAGGUUUUGUAGUCUUUUUCCUGAAAUAUAACUGAGUACUUCAUAAUCGUUGCAGUCCUUGGUUUGUGAUUUUGUUGCUCGAGUACCGAGGUUUAUCUUUUGGUGCUCUCUUAUUGGUUCUCACAUUUGAUUCAUCUCACCAAAUCAUUAAUGUAGAUUUCCUCUUGAAAUUUUAGCUUUGAAAUAGGUAGGUGGCGAUCUUUGCUUGGCUCUAUCAGUUGAUUCACAUAACCUAAUAAUUGAAGUCUUCUUUUCCUUGGGUCGGAAAAAUGGCAAUAAUUCUACUUGAGUUGAUAUUUCUUAAAAAAAAACUAAUGAAAAGGGCAUCAAAUUUUUACAUUUUAAUAAAAAAUCAUCCAUUAAUUUUAUUUAAUGACAAGGACAAAAGAAUUAAAAAAAAACAUAAAAAACCGAACUUGCGCUGGGCGCGUCCCCCAACCCCCCUUCCACACUCCACUUUUUUCCCGAUUGUCUGAUACAUUAAUAGAUUUUUUAUUUAUUUUAUUUUUGCUUAGAAUAAGAAAAAGAGUUCAAACUGAAUUACAUUCCCCAUUUUUAUAUUUCUGGUGUUUUUUUUUCUAAUAAUAGUCAAGAUAAUGAGAAAUUUUUCAAUGUGCUCGGAGCACGGGAUGGUACACCACGUGUAUCUAUACAAGUUGUGAGAUUCUUGUGUAAAAAAUUAAUUACACAAAAAAUAAAAUUUUUCGCUACUUACAUAAUAACACGUGGUGUGCCACUUGUGUUAUGGGCACAAGGUAAAGUUUCUUCAAGAUGACACUCAAGCUCCAAAAAUUGGAUGGAGAGCUGCAUUUAUUUUUGUAGGUAUGUAAAAAAAUGUGAGGAAAUUUUAAUUUAGUAAUUGAAAACAACUUUUUAAAUAUAAUUAUCGAGAACAUAAUCUUCUCAAGGUUUUGAUCUAAUGGAUCACUUCUGGGUUCAUCGUUUUGGGCGCAAUGAGUGCUUUUACAGGACCAAAAAGAGUCUUAAGUUUCAAACCUUAUGAAACUGAACCAAGAAGUAAACACUAUUUAUAAAAGUUGACCAAUAAGUAGACACUAUUUAUGAAACUAAAUCAAUUAGCAUACACUAUAUAUGAAAUUGAACCAAUAAGUAUACACUAUUUAUGAACGAAAACAAGAAUUAGACAAUAUUUCUAAAACUAAACCAAUAGAUGAAAAUUAUUUAUGAAACUGGACUAUACAAUAUUUACGAAACUGGACUAAGAAUUAGACAAUAUUUAUGAAACAAGAUCAAGAACUAGGCAUUAUUUAUGAAAGUGGAUCAAUAACUAGGCACUAUUUAUGAAACUGGACCAAGAAAGAGACACUAUUUAUGAAAUUAUACUAAUUACUAUACAUUAUUUAUAAAACUGGACCCAAUAACUAGGCUUUAUUUAGUCCAAGCAUUUUUCAUGAAAGUUCCCAUUUCUUAAUGAAAUAAACUAAUAGAAUAAUUAAGUCCUUUUGGGACCGCUCUUGCGCGGUUUAGAAUCACUUCUGAAUAAAGCACCUCCCACUUUUAAACCUAGAAUCACCUCCCAAAUAGGCCCUAAGCAAUACAAGAUCCAAAAGCUUUAAAUAAUCAUUUAAGUUAAUCCACCUGCUAAUUAGGAAGAAAAAUAAUCAAUUUGUAAAGUACUCUAAUAACAGUGGUUGUGGAAAAUGGAAACGGCUCCCCUCCGGAUCCAUUAUGUGGGGAUCCUAGAAAGCCUCACAUCUCAGUCAUUCAUCGUGUAUCGUGAUGUCAGAAAUCAUUUGACUUUUAUUAUUUUAAAUUAAACAUAAAUAAUACCUGACGAAAAUUGACUGCACGAUAGACGAUGAACGGCUGAGAUGUGGGGAUCCCAGGAUCCCCACAUAAUGGAUCUGGAGGGGAUUGGAAAAUUAGUAUUUGGUCCUCCCUAGUUACUAAUGCUUAUUGAUUAAGACGUUAUUAGUUUUCAGAUUUUGAUUAAAGUCCCUACCAUUAAUGUAUUGAUGAAUUUAGAUGUCAGUUAUAUAAUUUUUUGAAAUAAAAUUAGUAAUUGUUUUAAGGUUUUAAUAUUCACACCCUUAUUACACUCCUAAUUAAUUUUCAAUUCAAAAUAUUUCCAAAAAAAAAAAAAAAAGAUUUAGUUUGCACCCAUUAAAUUUUUUUGUUUAGAAAUAUUUUCAAUUUUUAAUCUUAAAUGUAACCAUUCAUAUAACUUUUCAAUUUUUUAAUCCUAAAUGUAAACAAUACUUUUUUUUUAGUAUAACAUGUACCCAUUUCUUUUUAUAUAAGAUCCAUUCCAUUUUUUUCUAAUCUAUAUUUUAAACUUAUAUGGGUACAUUCUAUUUCGUUGAUCUAAGAAUGUAUCCCCGUCAAGGAAGAAAAUAUCGGUAAUAUCGGAAAUAUCGGUAGUCCGAAAACAUGGAAAUAUCGAUGGAAAUAUCGGGAUAAUAUCGAUAUCGAUAAAAAUUACAUGGAAACCACGGAAAUUGUAAGAAAAACUUGGAAAUUUUUAUUGAAACUUUGCAGGAUGUUUAUUUAGUCAAUUAUCUAUUAGUUUAUCACAAAAAAUUGGAAGGAAAUGCAUUGCAUGAUGGAUUUAACAUUAUCAAGUUGAUUAUAUAGCGAGCUGACAAACAUUGUGACUAUAGAAAAUAUGUAGAAAUUAAUGAAAGAAGUCUAAACACACCAUAAUCAUUAUAUAUAAUGAAUUAGUACAAUAUUUUACACUUUAUACAUUGCAUGGUAAGAUACAUGAGUGACUUAGUACCACAUAGAGUUCCUAUGAGGUUCAAAAUUUUCACUAUCUUCAUCAUCUCUAUGUGUAGAGUGAGUGUAUUUUGAAGAGUAGUUACCAACUAUGGCAAUGGUUUUCAAGAACCAAAACCCAAAAGUCAAUAGGAAACCGAAUACUUCAGUAUUUUUCGGGAUUACCAAACAAAUGGGAUUUGGAAACCAAUCCCAUAUCGAAAAUUUCGGUAUUUUUCGGGAUGGGAUUCCCGAACUUCAGGAUGGUUUUGGUUUAGGAUUUUUCGGUUUGGGUUUGGGACUUUUUCGGUUUGGUUUGGGAUUUUCCGGAAUUUUUUCCAGCCCUUGACCAAAUAAAAAAUAGAAAAAUUAAAAACCACUUGCCAUUGACUAAGUAAUUAAUUGACACAAUUUAAAAUAUAAUACCACAAAAAAUUUGGAAUAUGUGCAAAUUUGUUUCUUGUAAAAAUAAACCAUAUAUAUAAAUAUUGUAGCUUAUUAUCAUAACAACAUAAGUGGUACAGUGGUUAAGGCCUUAAGAAGUUAAGGGGGAGGGGUUCGAACCCCUUUAUACUCAAAACCGAGUCUUUUCCAAAUUUUAAGGAAUUUUUGGACUAAUAUCGCGACAUUUUAGCGAAUAUCGCGAUAUUAUAAAAAAUAUCGAGAAAUAUCGCGAUAUUAUCGAUAUUUGCGAUAAUAUCGCGAUAUUUUAACGAAAACUCAUUGGAUACUCCUUAAAAUAUCGGUAAGUAAAAAAAACGAAAAUUUCGCCGAUAUUUUCGAUAUUUAAAUCCAUGAUCCCCGUCAAGUUUAAUCAAAUAAAUUUAAUAAUGUUAUUAAGUCUUUUUUUGUGGUUUUGGAAAAUGUACCCAUGUUUUGGUACAAUAAUUUUUUUACUAUUAUUUACGAAUGUGUAUAUACACAAUAUAUUGGAGAGUAUAAUUUAUCCUUUAAUAUUUUUAAUUCCACUAAUUAUGGGUUUUAUUUAAAAUCUCAUAAAUAUAAACAACUAUAACUACAAAUUUCAAUUUUCAAUUUAAGAAUAUAAUAACUUACAUAUAAAUAUAUUAUUUCAUUAAUGUCAAAGACUUAGAUCAAAAGCUGAAAACCAACAAGAUUUCAGUUAAAGAGCAUUGAUAGUUAGGGAUCGCAUCCCAACUCUGCCCUUAAAAAAUUAUUAUUCUAAGCAAUGCGCAUCUAAAACUAUGAUAUCUCAUCUUAUCAAUCUUAGAUUUAAAUAGUGACUAGAGAUUACAAAGAGAGAUGAAAACAAGUUUAAUAACAAUUAAGGAUUUUGUUAUUGCAUGAUUCAGUGAGUUUCUUACUGAAUAACAUCGUAGAGGAGAAAUGAUCACUUGUAGGAAAAUGAUUCAAUGAGUUUGUUACUAGAUAACAUUUGAUUCAUUUUUUAUUUGCUCAAUAAAACGAUUAAAAAGAAAUUAGAGUGUGUAUAAGUAACAAAUUAAUGAGAGUUUGUAAAAUGUAAAAAGAAAUGAGAGUAUGUAAUGGGAUCAUUAACAACAUAAUCAAGAAUAAUCAUUAUGUUUAUCUCAUUGAAUCAGCAUUUUCUAUUUGUCAAAAAAUAGGACAAACAUAAUGAUGUCUAAAUUCAGAAGCUGGAAUACAACUAUGAUUCAUUGAGUUUCUUUUUGUCAGAAAAUGUAAGUUGAUGUCUAACUUCAGAGUUGUACAGCUAUAGAGUAUGCUAUUUAUUUCAUCUUAUACUCCAUAUUUGUGCUUAGAGAUAAGCAAAAUGAUGUAUGAGAAACUUCAUCAAGCAGCCCUUUUGUUUUAAUGGUUUUUCGGUUGAUGUUUUGUUUAAUGGUUGCUCUUUUGCGACUAAAUUGGUGGUUUCAUAUAUUAAGUUCAAUUGUUAGAAAGUAGAAUUUUUCUUCGGUUUGGACGUGAUUUUUUCCAUAUAUUUAAUUACUUACAGAACUUGAUCGUCUCUGUUUCAACUCUGUUUGCGUUAUGAAUAGCAACUCUUUCCAAGUUUAACAUGGAUUUAUUUUUAGAGUGGAAUUAUGUACAGAAAAUCUCUAAAGAUGCUGACAAUGGAGGGACAUUGAUUCAGAACACAGUGGUCAAGUCUUUACAAGCUAAUUCUGCAGGUAAUAGAAACUACACCUUUUCUCUCUGCUUGCAUGCUUUUUAACAUAGAGAGAAAUUGAAAUUGUACUUUAGAAUUAGCGUUCUUUUUUAUGAUCUACUGCCUGGUAAGGGUUCUUGAAAUUGUAUUUUAGAAUUAGUGUUUUUCUUGAUUCAAAACAAAAGGUCUAUAAUUUCCUUCCUACAUUCCAUGUAUUUACAUAGUAUUGCCUAUUGUAAAUAUAUUUACAAAUUUUACAUGUUUUAUACGGUUUUGAAACACUCAACAUAAGGGACCUCUGUUUCAUAUGUAUUUAUUUUUGCUUAAAUGUCAAAAUGGUCCCUGUAUUGUAGCCACAUGGCAAAUUUAGUCCCCAUGUUUUUGUUUUGGUUAAUUUAGUCAUCAUGUUUGUUUCUGUUAGUCAAUUAAGGAUAUUUCAUUCAAUCUCUUUUAAAAAAUUCAUAAGAAAAUUUAUAUGAGAUAUUAUUAUCAUUUCUCUUUACAAAAAAAUGCAAAUUAAUAAGAAAUAACACAUAUAAGAGAUAAAACUUCCAAUCUGAAAAAUGAUUAAGAUUGUGACAUAGAAAAGAGAGGGUAAUGUUAGGGAGGAGGUCGGGAAAUUGGAAGGAGAAUAAAUUUUCUUUUAAUUUCAUUUUUAAAUAUUUUAAAUCAAAUAAAUAAUUUUAUAAAUAAGUUUACAAUAAUUUAUAAAAAAUUUUACAGAAAUUAGAUGGAAAUGUCCUUAAUUGGCUAAUGAAGAUAAACACAAUGACCAAAUUGAUCAAAUUGAAAACACAUGAAUUAAAUUGACCCAAUAACUAAAACACAGAGACCAUUUUAACAUUGAAGCCUUUAUUUUUAGAACACUUCCAGCCCAGCCAAGUCCCCUGGGCGAUGAGCUCUGGAAUCCCCCUACCCAAAAAAAAAGAAAAAGAAAACGCAGCUCCAGCCCAUUCCAAUAACCUCGGCUCCCCUGGAGCCCCCACUUUUCCCCCAGGUCCGAAUUGACUGGCCCAGCCACCGGGUGGUAUGACAUCACUUUGAUGUUAGCCAUGAUUAGAAAAUUAUAAAAAAUACAAAAACUUAUAAAAAGUCAAUUAAAAAUAUAAAAAAGUUAUAAAUUUUUUUCUAUAAAUACCAUAUUUUUUCACUUUACAUCACAUUUCAAUAUUUUCAAAUACUUUUCAACCAAUUUUUUAUUGUCAUUCCAAAUUAAAAAUAAAAUUAUUUCUUAUUAAAAAAUAUUUUAAUACCAAUAACCUGGGCUAUUUGGUGGAGAUGUAAUGAGACAGUUACUGUUCACUAAAGACAGUUACUAACUUACCAUCCACUUUGGCGGAUUGGGUUGCCUAUAGCACAUGGAGACAUUUAGGGGUAGGGUUGCUCUAAAAAGUGGAGUUUUAAGGCAGCCGAUGAGAAAUGACUCCAAACGCAUCUACUUUUGUGUUAAAUAUAAUAAAGUCAGUCUUUGUUUAAUAUCAAUCCAAUAACUCUUGGUUUGAAUUAGUUUAUUUGUAGCGAAAACGAACCAUAGUUUUCGUUACAUUGAUAUUGCUAGCUAAUUUGUGAUUAUCUCCCCCAGCAAAACUCAAUUCCAUUUGCAAAGAAGAGAUCGAUCAUGGCUGUGGAGGUGGUAGGCGGAGCAUUUUUCUCCGCUUUCUUUCAACAAGUAUUUCAAAAGAUGGAUUCUCAGGAGGUCAAGAACUUCAUCAGAGGAAAGAAACUGACUGAUGGGUUGCUGAAGAAGUUGAGGAUCGAGUUGUUAUCUGUCAAUGCUGUUUAUGAUGAUGCCGAGCAAAAGCAAUUAAGUAACCCAGUUGUGAAGCAGUGGCUGCAUGAGCUUAAAGAGGCAGUCUUUCAUGCUGAGGACCUUCUGGACGAGAUCAAGACAGAAGCGUUAAAGCGGAAAAUGGAAGCUGAAUUUGGAAGUAGCAUAAGCAAGGUACAAGACCUCAUCUCUGCUUCUUUCCAUGCUUUUGAUGAGUCUAUAGACAACAAGAUAAAGGAAAUUAUUGAGACGCUAAGCUUCAUUUCACAACAGAAAGAUGCCUUCGGUUUGAAAGAACGUUGUAGUCACAGAAUCUCACAAACAUUGCCUUCAACUUCUUUAGUAGAAGGCUCUGAUGUAUAUGGAAGAGAUCAUGAGAAGGAAACCAUCAUUCAAUUGUUGCUAUCAGAUGAUGUUACUUGUAAUAAGAUUGGCGUCAUUCCCAUCGUGGGCAUGGGUGGGAUCGGAAAGACCACCCUUGCCCAGCUCUUAUACAAUGAUGAUAAAGUGAAGCAGCAUUUUGUGCUCCAGGCAUGGGUUUGUGUUUCUGAUGAAUUUGGCGUUGUUAAGAUCACACAAACAAUUUAUGCAUCAGUCACUUCACAAACCUGUGAUACCACAGACCUAGACCAGCUUCAAGUCAAACUCAAAGAUGCUUUGAAGGGGAAGAAGUUUCUUUUUGUUCUUGAUGAUGUUUGGAAUGAGAAUUACAAUAUUUGGGAUUCCUUAAGGCGCCCCUUCGAGUCUGGAGCUCAUGGAAGUAAGAUCAUUGUCACCGCAAGGAAUGAUGGCGUUGCAACUACGAUGGGUACUUUGCAAACCCACUAUUUAAAGAACUUACUUGAGGAAGACUGUUGGUUUUUAUUUGCAAAACAUGCCUCCAAAGAUGCAAGUGGUGUUGUAGAUCCAAAUCUUGAGGUAAUUGGAAGACAAAUUGUUAGCAAGUGUAAAGGCCUUCCUUUAGCUGCAAAAUCUCUCGGUGGUCUCUUACGCUCUGAAUCAAAAGUGGAGGAGUGGGAAAAUGUGCUAAAAAGUGACAUAUGGGAGUUGUCAUAUGCAAAGAUUGACAUUCUGCCGGCUCUAUGGCUAAGCUACCAGUACUUGUCUCCGGAGCUGAAGCGUUGUUUUGCUUAUUGUUCCAUAUUUCCCAAAGACUAUAAAUUUAACAAAUCUGAAUUAAUUUUGUUGUGGAUGGCCGAAGAUCUUUUACAACCCCAAAAGAAGACUAUGUUGGAAGAUGUUGGAAAGAAAUACUUUGAUGAUCUGAUCUCACGGUCAUUUUUUCAAUACUCAUCUUCAAAUGAUUGUUUCAUCAUGCAUGAUCUGAUGCAUGAUUUGGCGACUUACGUAUCUGGAGAAUUUUGCAUUAGAUUGGAAGACCACAACUUCUCAUUGGACGUUGUGAGCAAGGGGUCGUCAUUUUUUUUCUUAUUUGCAAUAUUCAUCUAAUGUUGAUUAUAAGAGAUUUGGCACUAUUUAUGAAGCUAAGUAUCUGCGCACCUUCAUUCUUGGCGAUCUCUAUUUGCCGACAGUACGACUUGAUCUCCUUUUAAUGCUACAGUGUUUAAGAGUCAGUUUCAAAACUACGUGUGCAUGAUAUCACGGAGUUGCCUGAUUUGAUUAGCAACUUGAAGCAUCUACGGUACCGAUCAUUGUACCAACUUGUGUGACCGGACACGUGUAACACUCCAAUCCCAGAAAUUACACGAACACGGUAUGCAGGUUUGUUUGUAUAAUUUACAAACAUUGUUGUUGUUGUCAAAAUUGUACAUGUCUAGCUGAGUUGCCCACCGAUUUGAGAAGACUUAUCAACUUGCGCCAUCUUGCUUGAUUUCAGAGGUACGAAAAUAAAAAAGAUGCCCCCCCACAUGGGCAAGUGGGCAAGUUGAAAGAUCUCCAAACAUUCGGAGGUGAGUUUGUCUUGCUUGAGCAAAGAUGCUGGGGGAUACAUUGAUGAGUUAAAGGGGUUUCAGCAUUUGAGUGGAAAUCUUCAUAUUUCAGGGCUUCAAAAUAUCAAACAUGCUGAGGAUGCUUUGGAGGCCAAACUGAGGGACAAGAAGCUCAGUGAAAUACAUUUGAAAUGGGAAGGUGACACUGCUGAUUCUCAAAACGAUAGCCGAGUGCUGGGCAACCUGCAGCCCAAUACAAACCUAAAGGUACUGGCUAUAAAGGGAUACGGAGGUAUAAAGUUUCCAGGUUGGUUAGGAGAUGAGUCUUUCUCUAAUCUCAUCACUCUCCGACUUGAGAAUUGUGGAUAUUGUUUCUCCCUGCCAGCAUUGGGGCGGCUAACGUCCCUCAAAAGGCUUGAAAUUGAUGGGUUGAAUGGAGUGGAAUUAGUGGGGUCUGAGUUUUAUGGGCCUGCAUUUAAAUCUCUGGAGUUUCUGAGUUUCCGCAGUAUGCGGGAAUGGCAAGAGUGGUGUUUCCCUGGAGGUGAAGAAGAAGAAGGCGGACAUUUUCCUAAUCUUUGCGAGCUUAGUCUGGAGAACUGUCCCAAACUAACGGGGAAAUUACCGUUAUACUACUUCCCAAGACUUGAGCGGCUAAUUUUGCAGAAAGUUAAUAUCGAAUCCCUUGCUUGUUCGCAAGAAUGCAAUAAAUUCAAUAUUGAACUCCCAUCCCUCCGUGACUUGGGAAUAUCAGAUUGCCCGAAUCUGGUAUGUUUUGUGGGUGGUGGAGUGCUGCUUGCGCCCAACUUGAAGAGGAUAUCUAUGUGCCGUUUUAAAAACUUGUGGUCAGUGCCAGAGGAGAUGCACGCCUCUCUCCCGUCUCUUCAGUCUCUGUCCAUGGAAGAGUGUGAAGAAUUUAAAUCAUUUCCUGAAGAAUCUAAAUUCCCAUCCCUCUAUUAUUUGAAGAUAAAGGAGUGCCCAGAAUUUGUGGGUUUCCCCCAUGGAGGACUGCAAGCGCCCAACUUGAAGAUGAUGAAAAUCUAUGAAUGUAACAAAUUCGGGUCAGUGCCAGAGGAGAUGCACGCCUCUCUCCCGUCUCUUCAGUCUCUGUUCAUAGAAGGGUGUAAAGAAUUUAAAUCAUUUCUGGAAGAAUCUAAAUUCCCAUCGCUUGAUGAUUUGAGGAUAUACAAAUGCCCAGAAUUUGUGGGUUUCCUCUAUGGAGGAGGACUGCAAGCGCCCAACUUGAAGAGGAUGGAAAUCAAAGAAUGCAAUGAAUUCAGGUCACUGCCAGAGGAGAUGCACGCCUCUCUCCCGUCUCUUCAGUCUCUGUCCAUACUAGGGAGUAAAGAAUUUAAAUCAUUUCCGGAAGAAUCUAAAUUCCCAUCCCUCAAUAAUUUGUAUAUAAUGAAUUGCCCAGAAUUCAGGUCACUACCAGAGGAGAUGCACGCCUCUCUCCCAUCUCUUCAGUCUCUGUCCAUAGAAGGGUGUAAAGAAUUUAAAUUCCCAUCCCUUAAUCAUUUGUGUAUAAUGAAUUGCCCAGAAUUCAGGUCACUGCCAGAGGAGAUGCACGCCUGUCUGUCUCCCUUCUCUUCAGUCUCUGUACAUACAAGGGAGUAAAGAAUUUAAAUCAUUUCCGGAAGAAUCUAAAUUCCCAUCUCUCUCGUAUUUGAAUAUAUGGUAUUGUCCAGAAUUGGAAUCAUUUCCGGAAGGGGGAUUGCCGUCCAAAUUGCUUUCACUCAGAAUCGGGAGUUGUAAAAAACUGAUGGCAAACCGUAUGCGGUGGGGUCUACAAACACUCACCUCUCUCGAAAGAUUGGAUGUCAGCUUCUCAGAAUGUGAAGAAGAAGAAAUUGGCGAAUCAUUUCCAGAAGAGGGGCAGCUGCCAACCACUCUCACUUCUCUCGGAAUCUUCCAGCAUCCGAAUCUGAAAACAAUUGACGGCAAGGCGUUAAGACACCUCAUCUCUCUCAAGGAGUUGAACAUUUUUUUUUGUCCUCGACUCCAGAGCUUGCCAGAUGAAGGGCUACCCACUUCUCUUUCUGGUCUAGAAAUCCGCGAGUGUGAUUUGCUAACACAACGGUGCCGGAGAGACACGGGAGAAGAUUGGGCCAAGAUUUCUCACAUCCCCAAGGUAGUGAUUGAUAACCGAAAGAUAUGAUUUGCAAUGGUACGUAAUUCAUCAACGUGUGUUUAUGUGUUUAUUUACGAUAUGGCUGUGUAAAUUUUAAAUCAUAAACAUGUUUCAAAUGUUAAUGUUCACAUAAUAACAAAUUUUACAGGUACUCUUGUCCCAUAUAAACUUGAAAGUAUUUGCGAUAGAAAGAUACGGAGCUACAAAAAUUCCAAAUCGGUUAGGAGAUGACUUGUUCGUUCUCUCAUCUUGUUACUCUUCGACUUGUGGAUUGUGAACAUUGUUUUUCAAUGCCAGCAUUGGCACAGCUACCAUCUCUCAGAAGGCUUGACACUGAUGGGUUAAAUGGAGUGGAAUUGUUCCUCUUUUCUUAUUGUGUCUUACGGUGGUUCUAUUAUACGACAGUUUGUUGUAUCGAACUAGUCUUCGGUGAAAAAGGAGCUUCAACAAGUCUAUGAGCUCUAGUUUUCGAAUUUCCUUUUUCAAGUUUGUUUCCAAAUUAUGUCUAUUGAGAGGUAGAUUUUGGUACUUUGUAGAAUUCGAAUUCAAAUGUUUGGUUUGUAAAAUAUGGAUGAUGAUUUCAUUUCUGUGGAACUGUGAAUCUAUGAUCAUGCUUGAAUGUUGUCAGACCAUUAUCUAUUCUAAAAUUGAGGAGGGAUUUGACUGUAGCUUAGCUACAGUCAAAUGAUUGACCCUCGAUUUUGCUUUAUUUACAUCACUACCAUUAUAUCUCUGGCUGGGUUGGAAGGGUAAUUAUUACAACUUAGAAGGGUAAUUUUGUCCGUGGGUUUGAACCGAAUUUCACUUUUAUUUACAAAAUUGCCACCGCCUUUUCCUUCCCUCUUUCUCUCUCCCGACUCUCUCUCGGUAACCAUCCAUCAAAUCCCCAUCCUUCCCUUUUCUCACUCUGUAAGUCUCAUUUCCUACAACCCUAGAGCACCGUUUCUCUCUCAUUUCUCUCAAAUUUGACUCAGGGAGAGAGAGGGAAGGGGGACAGAAGGGUUGACAGGUUGGAGGGAGAGGAUCGUCGGGAUUAGGGGAGAGGAUUUUCGGCAGGGAGGUAUGGGUUUAGGGAGAGAGAGAGUAAGGGAGAAGUAUGGGGUAGGCGGAUUUCCAGGGAUUUCUUUUCACCCCUUCACUCACCACGAACCCACCUUUCCCUUCUUUUCUUCCGUCCUCAAAUCUUCUGAUUUCCCUCUCACAAAAUACCCACCAAGGAAACCCUACUUUUGGUUUAUUUUGGGAUUUUGUUUGCGCUCUCGAUUUUCAGACGACGGGCCAAUUGGUUGAUAUUUGGAUUUCUUCUCCUUUUGUCGAAACGCACAAAUUUUGUUUCGGUGGGAUUGGUCUCGAAUAGCUGCGUGUGUCUACCUUUCCAAGGUAUGGUGUUCACCGAUGGCAUGUUUUAGUGUGUUUCUGUUUUUUUUUUCUUUGUUUUGUAUUUCUAAUUUAUCGUUUGCUGCUUGACAAUGGUGAUUGUAUGUUUUAGUUUGGAUGUUUUUCUGAUUUUGGUUUGGUCAGUUUUUUUGGGCUGCUUGAGAAAAUGUGAUCCCAUGUUUUGACUGAGUGAAAUAAUUAAUAGAUAAAAAGAGUGGAGAAUUAGUGUCAAGAGUAGUGAUGGAAAAAAUGAGGAAAAAAAUAUAGAUGUGGAAGAAAAAGGGGGGGGGGCUGGAAAUCGAGCAAGGUGAAGAGAAAAAAAAUAGGGGUUAAGUGAGCAGCCAAAAGAGAAAAAAAAUGAGGGGAAAAGGCUUAAUUUGGGGAGUGGGCAAAAGAGAAAAGCAAGGGAAGGGAGACAGAACAGGAACAAGGUGUGGUUUUGUUGUUGGUUUUAUCCAAAUUUUUGAUUUGGCAUUGGUUUGAAGCUUAUGUGUUAUUAGUAUAGUCUAAUUUAGUGUUGGUUUAUCUAGGUUUGUAGCUAAUUUAAUGUUAAUGUUGAUCUAGGCGUUUUAAUUUGUUGUGAACUUAUAUGAGUUUCGUUUUUUAAUUGUUAUUUUACAGUUGCUAGGGAUGACUUUGGCUUUUAUAUUGGUUUGGGUAUUUUUUUUUUUCAUUUGAAGAUUUAGUGUCAUUAUACACCUUUGCACCACUGUUUGUUCUGUUUUUCUCGGUUUCUGUAUAUAGUUUUGGUACAAUUGGACUGUUCUUUUUAACUUAAUUAAAGUUUUUGAGACUUAAUUGAAUGAAAGUUUAGUGUGUGUUUUGGACUAAUGGUUUUGUGUUGUUAUGUGGGUUUGUGAAGAUGGAUGGAUGUGUGGCUCGGUUGCAGGAGCUGCAGUACACAGUUUCGGGCGGUACGAAGGUGAUCUCAGGAGUGAGUCUCAGCCCUGGGAGUUCUAGAGGUUAUCUCAGGGCUAGCCUCCGAUGCAAACAAGAAACUGCAAGGUAAUUGAGAAUCUGAUUUUAAUUUGAUUUGUACAAACCAGGAACAAAAAAUCCCAGCUUUUGCUUGAAUUUGAAGUUUUUGAUUUUGAUAUUGGAACUGAAAUGGGUCUUUUGAUUUAUGCAGGAUUAAAGGCUCAGCCCCUAGAAAAUCUCCUGUUGGCAAGUUUCCAGCAAAGGCAGGAGGUAUCUCCCUCUCUCUCUCUCUCUCCCUAAAAUCAUAGACGUAUGGCCAAAUGUGUUUUUUGACAAGAAAGUUUAUCCUUCACUUUUUUUCAAAGAACAAAAUUGAGUUUAGAUUCAAAAUCUGAACCUUUUGUUUUUGAAAAUACGACAUUCUAAACAACAGAAGCUCAUUACUUUUUGUUUUUUAAUAAAGCCAUUACCAGUUUCUGAAUUGAUUCUACAUUUUACUCUGUUUUUAUGCCUAAUACCGUUUGUUUUCCAUUGGGUAGCUGUAUAAGUUUUCCAUAAGCUUCGAUCAUCUCCCCAAUAAACCCAGAGCCUCCUUCUCUCCCGCUAAGCAAAAGAAAAUCAAGGAGGCCUGCAACUUCGUUUGCAGUCCGCCACUGCAAAUCAGUCUGGAAACUGGAUUCAAAGGUAAAACACACCGAUGUCUUUGAUUUUGGUCUCUACUGCACAGUUUGACAGACAAAUGAUAAACCUAACACAUGCAUGCUUUGAUUUCCUUGGUAGGUCAUAUUUUUCACUUUCUGGAUGUGCAAAGUCUGGAUAGUACACAUCACCGGACCAAACCUUUAUCAGGUAAGGAAUUCCAUCGCGUUUGUUGAAAAUAUUUGCUUCCUUUCCUCUCAUGUAUGUGUAUGUAUGAUUGUAUGUGUGUGAUUUUAGAUUGUAAUGCAUCACAAAUUUGUGGCAUAAAAAUUGACAUUUGUAGACUUACCCUUUGUUUGGUGACUGUGAUAAUUGAGAGAAAGGAAAAUAAAAUUUCGAAGAUUGAUGCUUUUAUGUGAUUUCUUGGCUCUUUUUUUCAUAUGAUUUUCAUUGUAUGUGUGCCAGUGUAUGUCUCUUCUUGAAAAAUACAUGUUGAAAAUGGGAGAAAAUUUUGGACAUGACACGUUUAGAAGUGAGGUUUUUCUGAAUGAAGACACUUUUAUGAUUUGUUUGUAAUUUGUUUUGCAAAUGGGUAGGAAUGUCAUUCUAAAAGGAUAUUGGCAGGAGAGGGUGGAAUGUCAUUCUAAAAUAUGUGUAAUUCAAUUCUCUCAUUUUCUAUAGCAGAAUUGCGGAUUUCUAAAUCGAAAAGGAGAAAUAAACACUACAGCAGUUUAUGCAGAAGGAGCAUGUAAAAGAGAAGCACAGGUAAAGGUUUAUGAGGUCAGUUUGCUGUUUUCUUUUUAGUGUUUUCAAUUUGUUCCUUUUAGUCUGGCUGCAAUUUUUUAAUCUCUGGUUAUGCAUCAAUUUCUCUGCUUCUUUGUAAAUCUUGCAGGUGAGGACAACACACUUAUCGGGGCAAUGUCGGGAUGUUUAGGCUUGGGUGGAGACAUGGACUUAUGGAAGAGGUGAAGUAGCUUAGGUUUCUGUCAUUAGCUUUAUCUGUUCUAUGCAUCUCUGCAAUCUUACAAUGCUCCUUUAUUUAAUUGCAAGAUGUUGGGGACCGGUUACUGGAAUACAAGAUUUGGAACAAAAGUGGUUGACAAUGCAAGAGUCGAAAGCAAGUGUGAAAUUCACAUUGAAAAUGACAGGUGAGAAUGCUAAUCAUAUUCUAAAAAAAUGUUGGGUUUCCUGAUGAGUUCUCUAGCUGAAUUCAAGAGGCUAAAUUAGUGAUUUGGAGUUAAUUUUGUAAAUUUAUUGAAUAAAGUUAUUUGUUAUUUAGCUUAUCUUGCGUUUGGUUUGGUUUUAGGAGAGGGUUACGCAUGAUCCGUAGCUUCAUUCAACCUCGCUGUUUUCGUUAGAAUCACAAUUAAAGGUCAGUUUUUCCAACAUUUUUUUUGCUUUUUGCUGCAUGUUUGUGCAUGUUUGGUCUCUGAGAUUUUGUUUUUAGUCACUGUUGAUUUGUAGUUUAUGUCUUCCUUUAGCUACAUAUUGACACAUGUUUAUUCUCAGCAUUUUUUUGUUAUGGUAAGUGGUUUGGGGAGUUCUGUAUUAUUAUAUAAUCUUUGGGGCUAUUUUAAGUAAAAAUGAAAUGUUGACAUUGAUAUAGCAUACGGCACACUUAAUUCACACUCCUAUAUUCGGUUUUCAUGUUUCCAUUGCAACACUCUGCAUUUCCGAGCCAAUGAAUUUUUUGAUAAAGAUGUACUUAAAGCAAUUACAUGCUCUAUCAAGUAUGUUUUAUAUGUGGUUGUGGUAGUUGCAAGGAAAUGAAAUAUUUGUGCUGAUAAUUGGUAGUUUAAAUAUAUAGAAAUAGAGAAGAAUUAUAAAUGGAGCACCUAGGAUAUUUAACAUUGUUUUCUUUUCCAUGUAUUUUUUCUCAUGUUUAAUAUCUGCUUUUGCUUAUGCAUAUGAUUCAAGUGCUAUUUUUAUUAGUGUUAAUUUUGGGUUGCAUAUCAACAAACUAACCCAGUUAAUUUUGCUUAGUGUUCAUGUAUAACGAGAACUCUCAUUGCAUCAACUUGAACAAACAUUCUUCUACUUAGUUGCUUAGCUGCUGCAACAAGAACGAAACACUUUUUAUGUGUUUUUGUUUAACUGCUAAAACAGGUGAUUGGCCUCCAGGACAUAUAUUUUGCCAUCUUAACUUUAAAGGCAAUACAUAUGUAAAAUGCAUGUUGCUUAGGGAAACAGAGCAUUUUUUGCAACCACAUCUUUUGUAAUCAGCUUAGUUGAAUGUAUAUAAAAGUUAAGCUACUUAUCUUACCUACACCGAUCACUCAUCUAUCAUUUUUGUUCGUUCAUGAUUAUGUUGAAUUUUUUUUCAGGUUAAAUGUGUCUUAUUCAUGUAGUUAAGGAUGGUGCAUUCAAGUCCCGCAGCAACGCGCGGGCAUUUUUCUAGUAGUAUCGAAAACCCUCUGUUGUUUACCAAUCGAUCUCAAGCGGUCUAGAUUCGAUUUGUUUAAUUAGUACUGCAAGAUGAUCUUAUCUACUAAUCAUGUCUUAUCAAAUGAUUACCAUUUCAUCAUGCCCUUAGGGAUGCAUAGAGCUUCAAAAGUUUUCAAGUUGCUGCGCAUGUGUAGGUUUGAAGUCGUGCAAUGAUAUGUACGCGAAACUUAUGAGCAAACAAAAGCAAACAACUCUUAUACAUAAAUGUCGGCUGCCAGAAAAUCUCAGUAGUACCAGAGAAGAUAAGCUUGUAAUAAAUUUCUAAUUCUCAAAACAGAGCAAACAAGAGAAACAAGAUCUACAUAUAAGUACCCCUAGUUGGCCGGCACACAGGAUUUCUUUUACGAGCAUGUUCUUCAUUAUGGUGCUGUGUCCGACAUGCAUAUCCAUACCAGCAAUUUUCCCUGUUUGAUGCCUCUGUGGGUAGAUGAUAUUUGGGAAUCGAAAUCCGAAACCAGUACAAGAGGAAGGAGAUCAGCUUCUCAUAACAGUAAUUGCACGUAGGUGUCCCAGAAGUUAUUGCCUCAGCAUGAUUCAGGGGCAUCCUCGUUCGAUCAAUUUCUCUGUUGUUCAACUUUGCAAGCCAUUCUGCAAUAACAUCCUGUGAUGUUCUCCCCAACUGUACAGUACACUUCUCAGUGAUCACUUGUUCAUGUCGAUUGUUUUCAUGAGUUGAAGUAGGGAUUCCAGAGAUGGUCCAUUCUGAGAUUGGUUUAAAAGUCUCGCGACUGCACACAUGGUGAGAAUCACUUUGUGAAACCCCUUGCGCAUGCCAAUAUAAACUGCAAAAUGCCUUAUCACAUCCUAAACAGUGUUGAGGUACACUUAUUGGUGCACGAAGGCAUCAUUCCUCCGCAUGCUUGACAUUGCAGAUGGAUAGUGGUUUGAUUGCAGCGGAACGCACCAUAUUCAGUACCACAUUGAGGGCAUGGAUUUGAUGGAUUAUGAGCUUCUUCAUCCACCUGGGAGCGAGCCCUUUUUCUGCGAAGAUGUUUUCCAGAGUUUACGACAAUAUUAGAUUGUAUUGUUGCAUAAGAGUCUAAAAUUGCCACUUCAUCAUUGGUGCGUUUUAGUGAAUAGAAGAGAACAAGAUCUCUGAGCAAACUACAAUCUCAUAUGAAAUAAUUUCAACAUCCGGAUAUCUCAAGUCUGAUGGAACGAGCUUGGCCCAGAAUUCUUCACAGGGUUUUGCACCCGAGCUCUCUCCAACUUCUGCCAUCCCUUGAAUAUAUUCACAAAGGACCCAGAAACCAUUAAUUUAGAUCUCAAAGAUAAGUAACCGGCCAUUGUUAUGUUCAUUUAAAAAGAAACAAGUACUUAUAUAUUCAACUAUUUAUGAGCAACAGAGCAAUUUUAAUUUCUAAUUAUCGAACAAAAUCUUUACCGCUAAUUAGAUAAUUCAUCCAAGUACGAAAAGAAAACAGAUUUGCACUCAAACAAGACAGAUUCAUGAAAUAUGCUAUGGUAACGCCCCUAACAUUUCAACACCGAUAAACAUAUCAACUUCAUGUUUCAGACAUCCUACAACUACAUAUAUUAGAUCGUAACAAUUCCAACUAAAUGUAAAAGCUCUUAAAGACCUAGUUUGGGAGUGAGGUGCUUAAAAAAAAAACACCUAUGAAAAAAAGCUGUGAGGGUUUUAGGUGUUUGGUAAACUGAAAAAAAAGGGCUUAUUUUGGAAGCUGCUGUGAGAAUAAGCUGAAAUCAAAGGAAAAAGCUGAAGUUGCUAUUUGCAGCUUUGGAAAACUGGCUUUUUUUCAAAGCACACGGAGCUACAAUGCUCCUUUAAUGAAAAGACCCACUAUCAGACUGAUUUUCUUUCCAAAAGCACUUUUACAAAAAAGUUUACCAAACGCUCUGUUGAUUUAUUUCACAGCCGCUUAUUCUCACAGCACAGCCGCUUAUUCUCACAGCAGUUUUUUUUCAAAGCACAGCAAUACCAAACCACUCAAAGCAUAACGACAUACUAGCAAAAUUCAUGGAAGAUAGUAAGUGCCAAUUAACAAGAGAGUCAAAAAGGCUUGAGGAGAAGGGGUCCCCAGCAGCGGCAUCAUUUCUGGCCGGAAAAGGUUCAUUCUAGUAAUAUAAUUUAUACCACAGAACACAUACAAACAGAUUUAAGGAGACACAAUUGUCAUUCUAAAAGAGACACUUUCUCAAUUCUUGAAUUAAAACCUGGACUCCAAGAUUGCAAAACCACAGAAUGUGGUCCCCUUUACAAAAAUGUAUAUCAUGUUUACUCUAUGUUCAUAGUUUGAACCUUCGUUUAUGCAAUCUCGCUCUUGUUUUUGUUCUCUUGUAUGACCUAAUUUUCACACAAUUCUCACCGGAAAACCAAUAGAAAUAUUUAUGAAAAUUGAUAGGUCUCACUUGGAAAUUGUUUCAAAAACCCUAACAACAAAAAUGAAAAGUUUGCAACUUUGGCCAAUAAACAAUCAAACGUGAAAAGAAUUUGAAACUUAUCUAUUUCUAAACACGUUUAUAACAUCUUAAGAGACGCGCAAUGUUGGUGAUAAAAAAGAUCAUUCACAUGCGGAUAAUAAUGUGAUUAAAUUAAUUGUCAAAUGACUGUUUUUUUUAAACGAUAUUAUCGAUACUAAGGGGGAGAGGUGUGUUUAGCCUCACAAUGGGCUAGCAACAAUGUGAUUCAAUCAGUUGUUUAUUAAAUAUUAUUUUAUCUAUUUUAAACACGUUCAAAAUAUCUUAAGAGGCAUGUAAUGCUGGUUAUAAAAAAAGUAUUUCGCACGAGGAUAAUAAUGUGAUUAAAUUAGUUGUUAAAUGAUUUUUUUUAACAAACGAUAUUAUUUACACUAAUGGAGAGGGGUGGGCUUAGUCUCACAAUGAGCUAGCAAUAAUGUGAUUCAAUCAAUUAUUUAUUAAAUAUUAUUUUCUCUAUUCUUAAUGUAAAUUCUAUAGAGACCGAUUUUAUUAUGUGAAUUCAGCUGGUUUAAUUGGUUUAUGAAGGGUUUCUUCUAGCAUGAUCUAAGAUUAUUCAUUUACUUCAAAUAUUUAACUUUCAUUUUGUCAAUUUACACACAAUAUAUACAUUUAAAAAACGUGUAAGUCGUGUAUAGCACGUCGUGAUUCAAAAAAUAUCCUCUGCACGUGCGUAAGCAUAUGCACGGAGGCUAGUAUAUACUAAAGUGGAAUGAGAAAAACAUUGUUCAUAAGAAACAAUGUUUUGACGUUUUUGCCCUCAUUUUUAGUGUUUCUGUGUUCCUAGUUUUUGUGCUGUUGAAAUCCCCACAUUACCAUAUAGGCAUACGUGUGUACGGAAAAAUGUUUUUCACGCGUGGCAUAAGGAAAUUUUCUCUGCAGCACCGUGUUAUUCCCCUGGGAGUCUGCAGCACCGCUCAACCAAAUUUUCUCUCAUUCCGUACUUCUCCACCUCUUCAAUCGUGCUGCACCGUGAAUCGAAACAAAAAACUGCUCUUCCAAAUCAAUUUCAGUUAACUCAAAUCCCUAAAACCCAAAUUUCUCCAGACCAUUGGAAUCAGUUUGCCUUUGUUGUUGCUAAUCUACAGGUAAAGCUUAAAUUUACAUACAAUUUUUAAUUUUUCUUGAUUGGAAUUUGGAAAGAAUUACAGAAAAUUGGCGAUGUCCACCGAGUCGGAUGCGUGGUGGAGACUCGGAUGCUCGCUUCCCUGACGUCACUACGCAUCGAUAAACGCACAUCAUUUCCGACUACGUCACUUCUUUCUCUCGCCUCCUUUUCAUGGUUAGCUCCUCCUCCGUAUUUACUCAACGCCUAAUUUUGGCCUUUUUUUCUUCCUUCACUGAUUUGUUCUAGAGAUCGCAGAUUGUUGAGUCAGAGAAGAGGUACAUUUCCAUUUGGGGUUUUUUCCCAAUUGAUUGAUGCUGUAUUAAUUUGGAAUUUGCCCAAUUGGGGUUUGAGAUUUUUGGUUUAUAUGGUUGUUUUGAACUUUUGAGAAAACCCUUAUUUGUUUUAUUUUUUAAGAAAAUUAAUGAAAAUGAUUUGAAAUCUUUGAAUUUUAGAAUAAGAACAAAAUAAAGGGUAAAGGGAACAAUAGCAAGAUUGACUUUUUAGUGUAAAAAUGUAAUUUUUCGUUAAAGUGAACAAUAUCGAGUAUUUUUUGUUCUUUAAGAGGGGAAUAAUGAUAUGAUCUGUAAUUAGUGAUUAGCUUAAUCACUUAUUCUUGGGAUUAUUAGGCUUAUUCAUGUUUUAGUGGAGUUUGUUAUAACUGCUAGCUGGCAUGAGGAGUCAUGACUGGUAUAAGAGCACUAGUUCUGAGUAUUGUAAUCAGAUCAGAAUUUACAACAAAGAAAAUAAAUACAAAAAUAUUUGGAGCUCUGCUCCUUCAUCUCUCCUUCCCUCUUCUUCCAUAGCUUUCUUGUGCUACUUGCAGGUUGAUUAAGGGAAUUGAGAAUUGGGUCUUAUCAUAGUGGAUCUUGACGAGCGGGCGGGCGGGCGGGCGAGCGAGCCAAGACUUAGUGGUUUAAGCUGGAGAGGUUUAUUUGGAAGAACCAAAGCCGUUUGAGCCGAUGCUGUAGCAGAUUGAACCGGUUCUACGCAGACCUCGCCAAAUCUCAGCCAUCAGAUUGCUGUCCGGACGAUCGCACACUUUGUCCGCAACUUAGACACGCCCUUGCAGUUAUAGCACCAAGGUGGGCCUGGGAGCAAACGGCUGAGAAGAAUUGAACAGAAAUUGGGCCAAACAGGAGCAAAGCGCUGCGCCAGUUGCUGUGGAAGGGAAUGUUGCUGAUGAUGCUGGACUGGGCCCGCAUAAUUCAAGGGCUGCGCUAGAUGCUCAAGCUGCUCGGCAGAGGGAUGCCAGGUUCCACGACCAACACCGCGUGAAUUAUUGUUAAAAUUUCCAUUUGCAAAGAAAAGAUUGAUCAUGGCGUUGAAGAUUUUUGCUUCUGCAGAUCCUCCUGGGUCUUUGAUUAGUUGUUAUACAUUCUCUUAACUCUGUCACAAAAUUUCCAUUUGCAAAGAAAAGAUUGAUCAUGGCGUUGACGGUGGUAGGUGGGGCCGCUCUCUCGGGUUUCUUCCAGCAAGUAUUUGUGAAGUUGGAUUCUCAGGAGGUCAGGAACUUCAUCAGAGGAAAGAAACUGACUGAUGGGUUGCUCAAGAAGUUGAGGAUCAAGUUGAUGUCUGUCAGUGCUGUUUAUGAUGAUGCCGAGCAAAAGCAAUUACGUAACCCACAUGUGAGGCUGUGGCUGCACGAGCUUAAAGAGGCCGUCCUUGAUGCUGAGGACCUACUGGACGAGAUCAAGACAGAAGCGUUGAGGCGGAAAAUUGAAGCUGAAUUUGGAAGUAGCACAAGCAAGGUACAAGACCUCAUCUCUGCUUCUUUCCAUGCUUUUGAUGAGUCUGUAGACACCAAGAUAGAGGAAAUUCUUGAGAGGCUAAGCUUCAUUGUAGAACAAAGAGAUGCCCUUGAUUUGAAAAGAGGUAGUAGACACAAAAUCUCACAAACAUUGCUUUCAACUUCUUUAGUAGAAGGCUCUGAUGUGUAUGGAAGAGAUCGUGAGAAGGAAACCAUCAUUCAACUAUUGUUAUCAAAUGAUGUCACUUGUAGUAAGAUUGGCAUUAUUCCCAUUGUGGGCAUGGGUGGGAUCGGAAAGACCACCCUUGCUCAGCUCUUAUACAAUGAUGAUAGAGUGCAGCAGCAUUUUGAGCUCCAGGCAUGGGUUUGUGUUUCUGAUGAAUUUGACGUUGUUAAGAUCACACAAACAAUUUAUGCAUCAGUCACUUCACGAACCUGUGAUGACCUAAACCAGCUUCAGGUCAAACUCAAAGAUGCUUUGGCGGGGAAGAAGUUUCUUUUUGUUCUUGAUGACGUUUGGAAUGAGAAUUACAAUAUUUGGGAAUCCUUAAGGCGCCCCUUCGAGUCUGGAGCUCAUGGAAGUAAGAUCAUUGUCACCGCAAGGAAUGGUGGUGUUGCAUCUACGAUGGGUACUCUUCAAACCCACUAUUUAAAGCACUUACUUGAGGAAGACUGUUGGUCUUUAUUUGCAAACCAUGCCUUCAAAGAUGCAAGUGUUAUUGUAGAUCCAAAUCUGGAGGUAAUUGGAAGACAAAUUGUGAGCAAGUGUAAAGGCCUUCCUUUAGCUGCAAAAUCGCUCAGUGGUCUCUUACGCUCUGAAUCAAAUGUGGAGGAAUGGGAAAAUGUGCUCAAAAGUGACAUAUGGGAGUUGUCAGAUGCAAAGAUUGACAUUUUGCCGGCUCUAUGGCUAAGCUACCAGUACUUGUCUCCGGAGCUAAAGCGUUGUUUUGCUUAUUGUUCGACAUUUCCCAAAGAUUAUUUAUUUGACAAGUCUAAAUUAAUUUUGUUGUGGAUGGCCGAAGAUCUUAUACAACCCCAAAAGAAGACUAGGUUGGAAGAUGUUGGAAAGAAAUACUUUGAUGAUCUAAUCUCACGGUCAUUUUUUCAAUACUCGUCUUCAAAUGAUUGUUUCAUCAUGCAUGAUCUGAUGCAUGAUUUGGCGACUUACGUAUCUGGAGAAUUUUGCAUUAGAUUGGAAGACCACAACUUCUCAUUGGACGUUGUGAGCAAGGGUCGUCAUUUUUCUUAUAUGCAAUAUUCAUCUAAUGUUGAUUAUGAGAGAUUUGACACUAUUUAUGAAGCUAAGUAUCUGCGCACCUUCAUUCUUGGCAAUCACUUUCCAUCGCCGAAAGUACGACUUGAUCUCCUUUUAGUGCUACAUUGUUUAAGAGUUCUCAAACUACGUGGGCAUGAUAUCACGGAGUUGCCUGAUUCGAUUAGCAACUUGAAGCAUCUACGGUACCUUGACUUGUGGUUCACUCCAAUCCAGAAAUUACCUGACACCGUAUGCAGUUUGUAUAAUUUACAAACGUUGUUGUUGUCAAAUUGUAUAUAUCUAGCUGAGUUGCCCACCGAUUUGAGAAGACUUAUCAACUUGCGCCAUCUUGAUUUCAGAGGUACAAAAUUAAAAAUGAUGCCCCCCCACAUGGGCAAGUUGAAAGAUCUCCAAACAUUUGAAGGUGAGUUUGUCUUGAGCAAAGAUGCCGGGGGAAACAUUGAUGAGUUAAAGGGGUUUCAGCAUUUGAGUGGAAAUCUUCAUGUGUCAGGGCUUCAAAAUAUCAAACGUGCUGAGGAUGCUUUGGAGGCCAAACUGAGGGACAAGAAGCUUAGUGACAUACGUUUGAAAUGGGAAGGUGACACUAUCGAUUCUGAAAACGAUAGCCGAGUGCUGGGCAACCUGCACCCCAAUACAAACCUAAAAGUACUGGUUAUAGAAGGAUACGGAGGUACAAAGUUUCCAGGUUGGUUAGGAGAUGAGUCUUUCUCUAACCUCGUCACUAUCCGACUUGAGACUUGUGGAUAUUGUUUCUCCUUGCCAGCAUUGGGGCAGUUACCCUCCCUCAAAAGGCUUGAAAUUUAUGGGUUAAAUGGAGUGGAAUCAGUGGGGUCUGAGUUUUAUGGGGGAAUUAAACCUGCAUUUAAAUCUCUAGAGUUUCUGAGUUUCUGCAGUAUGCGGGAAUGGCAAGAGUGGUGUUUCCCUGGAGGUGAAGAAGAAGAAGGCGGACAUUUUCCUAAUCUUUGCGAGCUUAGUCUGGAGAACUGUCCCAAACUAACGGG
rnacentral:lncRNA from 1 species